CACGUAGGUGGCAAGCGUUGUCCGGAUUUACUGGGCGUAAAGAGCGCGCAGGCGGUCGGAUAAGUCGAAUGUGAAAGCCCCCGGCUCAACUGGGGAGGGUCACGCGAUACUGAUCGACUCGAAGGCAGGAGAGGGUAGUGGAAUUCCCGGUGUAGUGGUGAAAUGCGCAGAUAAUCAGGAGGAACACCAAUUGCGAAGGCAGCUCGCUGGGACGUUACUGACGCUGAGACGCGAAAGCGUGGGGAGCAAACAGG
rnacentral:rRNA from 1 species